rnacentral:rRNA from 1 species
CAAUAGCGUAUAUUAAAGUUGUUGCAGUUAAAAAGCUCGUAGUUGGAUUUCUGGUGGGAGCGAUCGGUCUGGCGCUUAGCGCGAGUACUUGCAUCGUCUCCGGCCAUCCUUGGGGAGAGUCUGUCUGGCAUUAGGUUGUCGGGCAGAGGAUCCUCAUCGCUUACUGUGAAAAAAUUAGAGUGUUCAAAGCAGGCUUAUGCCGUUGAAUAUAUUAGCAUGGAAUAAUAAGAUAGGACUUUGGUACUAUUUUGUUGGUUUGCGCACCAAAGUAAUGAUUAAUAGGGACAGUUGGGGGUAUUCGUAUUCCGUUGUCAGAGGUGAAAUUCUUGGAUUUACGGAAGACGAACUACUGCGAAAGCAUUUACCAAGGAUGUUUNCAUUAA